UACAGAGGUCUCAAGCGUUAAUCGGAAUCACUGGGCUUAAAGGGUGCGUAGGCGGACCCGCAAGUGUCUUGUGAAAUCCCAGGGCUCAACCCUGGAAUAGCUUGACAUACUGCGGGUCUUGAGCUCGGCAGGGGUCGUCGGAACGCUAGGUGGAGCGGUGAAAUGCGUAGAUAUCUAGCGGAACGCCAAAGGUGAAGACAGACGACUGGGCCGACGCUGACGCUCAUGCACGAAAGCGUGGGGAGCAAACGGG
rnacentral:misc_RNA from 1 species